GUUCUGCUGUGAUGAAUUAAGAACAAAUUCACAUGUCAGACUUCAGAGAUUUUUAUAAUCAAUGAGAAUGACAAUCUUAUUCACUGAGCAGAUA